AGUUUUUUAAUAUAUAGAGUAUAUUUAGUUUCCAACUAAAAAGAUUUAAAAAUUA
rnacentral:tRNA from 1 species